rnacentral:lncRNA from 1 species
CAUCUACUGAAGGGCAUCUAGGUUGGUUCCACAGUUUAGCUAUUGUGAAUUGUGCUGCUGCGUCCCUAUAAUAUGUUGUUUUAAAAUCCUUUGGGUAUAAACCAAGAAGUGGGAUAGCUGGGUCACAUUGCUGGUUUUAUACCCAGUUUUCAAAGGACUCUCCAUACUUCUUUCCAGAUUGGUUGCACCAAUUUGUAGUCCCACCAGCAAGGUAUGAGUGUGCCUUUUUCCCCACAACCUCAUGAACAUUUAUUGUUUGUAUUCUUAAUAGCUGCCCUUCUGAUGGGGUGAGAUGAAAUCUUAGAGUAGUUCUGAUUUGAAUUUCUCUAAUUGCUAGAGAUGUUGAGCUUUUUUUAUAUUUAUUGAUCAAUUGUAUAUCCUCUUCUGAGAAGUGUCUGUUCAGUUCCUUGGCCCAUUUAUUGAUUGGGUUAUUGUUUUUUAGUGUUAAGAUUUUUGAAUUCUUUAUAUCCUAAAGAUGAGUGCUCUAUCUGAUAUGCGUGUGGUAAAAAUUUGUUCCCAUUCUAUAGACUCACUCUUUACCUCAUUAUUUCUUUUGCUGAACAGCUUUUUUGUUGUUGUUAAUAUUUAUUUUUUAGUUGUAAUUGGACAAAAUACCUUUAUUUAUUUUUAUGUGGUGUUGAGGAUUGAACCCAGGGUCUCACAUGUGCUAGGCAAGCACUUUACCACUGAGCCACAACCCCAGCCCCUGAGAAGAAGCUUUUUAGUUUGAAUCCAUCCCAUAUUGAUUCUUGAUUUUAAUUCUUGUGCUUUAGGACUCUUAUUAAGGAAGUUGGGGCCUGAUCUGACAUGAUGGAGGUUGGGGCUAAUUUCUCUUCUAUUAGGUGCAGGGUCACUGGUUUAAUUCCUAGGUCCUUGAUCUACUUUGAGUUGAGUUUUGUGCAUGGUGAGAGAUG